UUUAUCGCGCUUCUGCUGCCCCCUCUCUCUCUCAUCUCUGGUUUCAGCAGGUUUCUCUCUUUCUUAAAGCUGAAACCCCAUCAUAGCAAACCUAAAUCAGGCAACAAAAUCCCCAUCAGUGGGUCUCUCUCUCAAACAAAAACUCCAUCAGCAGGUUUCUCUCUCUCUCUAUUUCAAACAAAACCCCAUCAGCAGGUUUGUCUCUCUUUCUCUCUCUCAAACAAAAACCCCAUCAACGGGUUUCUCUCUCUCUUUCAAACAAUAACCCCAUCAGUGGGUUUCUCUCUCAAACAAAAACCCCAUCAGCGGGUUUCUCUCUCUCGCGCGUUUGUGCGCCCUGCCCUCUCUCUCUUUCUCUCUUUCAUGAGUUUAUACCCUCUCCACUCUAUCUCAUCAUAGAAGACGAAGCAAGAAGAGGAGAAAAAGGUAAUAAGAUUGUCCAAUCAAGGUGCUAAUGCCAAAAACAUAUUUUAUUUGAGAGAAAUUGAAUACGCAAGUGAACUUAGAGAGGCAGUAGGUGCAAAUAAGAAUGGAAAAGCUGUGGUUGCUGGUGGAAGAUACAUAGUCUUGAGCUGAGAGCUGUACUGGUCUUGUGCAACAUUUAAUAUUGUUCUUAUGUGCAGCCGAAGGCUGCUUAUUUGUACUUUUUUUUAAAAAAUAAAUAUUGUACUCCUUCAGAGGAACAUUUGAUAGUCAAGAGUACAAGCUCAUGUUAUGGCUUGGGUAUAUUUUUAUUCGUUAAAUAGAAUCAAGCUAAACUUUGGUGAUUA